rnacentral:rRNA from 1 species
GAUGAACGCUGGCGGCGUGCCUAAUACAUGCAAGUCGAGCGGACGGACGAGAAGCUUGCUUCUCUGAUGUUAGCGGCGGACGGGUGAGUAACACGUGGAUAACCUACCUAUAAGACUGGGAUAACUUCGGGAAACCGGAGCUAAUACCGGAUGAUAUUUUGAACCGCAUGGUUCAAAAGUGAAAGACGGUCUUGCUGUCACUUAUAGAUGGAUCCGCGCUGCAUUAGCUAGUUGGUAAGGUAACGGCUUACCAAGGCAACGAUGCAUAGCCGACCUGAGAGGGUGAUCGGCCACACUGGAACUGAGACACGGUCCAGACUCCUACGGGAGGCAGCAGUAGGGAAUCUUCCGCAAUGGGCGAAAGCCUGACGGAGCAACGCCGCGUGAGUGAUGAAGGUCUUCGGAUCGUAAAACUCUGUUAUUAGGGAAGAACAUAUGUGUAAGUAACUGUGCACAUCUUGACGGUACCUAAUCAGAAAGCCACGGCUAAUUACGUG